CCCGCCCGGGCUCGGCGGGCCCCGCCGCGGCGGAGCGAGUGGGCGGCCGAGGGGGCCCCGCCGCCGCCAUGGGCCGGAGCCACGCGGGGCAGCGGCGCAUCUUCCCUGAUCUUCAGCUGAUUUCAAGACCUGCAUACUCCCUCCCUGAUGUUUAAGCAACUCCUGAAGGAUGCAGACACAGGCACUGAGUGCUGCCUUGCUAACAAGGAGACCUCUCAGAAGCCUGCGGAGGAGACGUAGGAUCUUCAAGCAAAUUCUGGCUGCUGGAGAUUCCCCAUAGCAG